GCGGGUGUAGCUCAGUCGGUUAGAGUGCUUAGGCCUGUCACGCCGGAGGUCGCGGGUUCGAGCCCCGUCACUCGCGCCA
rnacentral:tRNA from 1 species